UACAGAGGGGGCAAGCGUUAUUCGGAAUUAUUGGGCGUAAAGGGCGCGUAGGCGGCUUUUCAAGUGACGGGUGAAAUCCCUCGGCUUAACCGAGGAACUGCGCCCGAGACUGCUUCUCUUGAGUCCCGGAGAGGAAGGUGGAAUUCCCGGUGUAGCGGUGAAAUGCGUAGAUAUGACAUAGAACACCAAUUGCGAAGGCAGCUCACUACACAAUCAUUGACGCUGAGGCACGAAAGCGUGGGGAUCAAACAGG
rnacentral:rRNA from 1 species